CUUCUUUGCCAUCUCUAUCAAUUACAAAGGAUCUCUGCUAUAACGUGACACUUCCUAUGGCUCACAUGGUCUCUCAGAAGGCGGCAAAAAGCUGAAUCGUGGCUUUGCAGGCUCUGGCUGAAACAAAGUAGCGCGUUUGGGUAGUGGCUGGUUACAGUACUGUGAGACUCAGGCUCGUGCCCGCGUCGACCGAAUGCUUUCUUUUCCUUUGUCUGUUUACCUAAAAGGAUAUUCCCGGUCGGAAUAUUAUCGCUUUUAUGCGAAAAAAAUGGCAUAAAAAUGGAUUUUAAACAGCGGUUGACAUGCUUCGAAGUACGGUAAUGGAAUAUUUAGAUUUUUUUUGUCACGAAUUGCGCCAUGCUCGUAACCCUGAUUUACCAUUUUGGAUAGUUUCUGGAACGCACGAACAAAACGCCGCUAUUCGGAUAUAACGAUGGAUUAUUUGGGACCAAACCAACAUUUGUUAUUGAAGUAGCAGUCCUGGGAGUGCAUUCUGACGAAGACAACAAAAGAGGACCUGAGCCCUAGGACCAUGCCUCAGGACUACCUGACAUGAUGACUCCUUGCUGUCCCCAGUCCACCUGGCCGUGCUGCUGCUCCAGUUUCAACUGUUCUGCCUGCGGCUAUGGAACCCUGACCUGUUCACCGGACGUGCUUCCUGUCCCAGACCUGCUGUUUUCAACUCUCUAGAGACAGCAGGAGCGGUAGAGAUACUCUCAAUGAUCGGCUAUGAAAAGCCAACUUACAUUUACUCUUGAGGUGCUGACUUGUUGCACCCUCAACAACUGUGAUUAUUAUUAUUUGACCAUGCUGGUCAUUUAUGAACAUUUGAACAUCUUGGCCAUGUUCUGUUAUAAUCUCCACCCGGCACAACCAGAAGAGGACUGGCCACCCCUCAUAGCCUGGUUCCUCUCUAGGUUUCUUCCUAGGUUUUGGCCUUUCUAGGGAGUUUUUCCUAGCCACCGUGCUUCUACACCUGCAUUGCUUGCUGUUUGGGGUUUUAGGCUGGGUUUCUGUACAGCACUUUGAGAUAUCAGCUGAUGUAAGAAGGGCUAUAUAAAUAAAUUUGAUUUGAUUUGAAGCAUUUUUAAUGGACUAGUAAAUUGUGUAUUCAUUACUCCAUUCGUAAGAUGUUUAAUAUAGGUCUUUAUAACCCAUUUACUAAUCAUUAGUUAAGUAUUUUUGCAUGGGCUAUUUAUACUUUAGAAAUACUUUAGAAAUUAUUUGAGUGACCAGUGCAAUUUCUCGCAAAAAAGAUGGACAUACCAUUGGUAGACAUUCCAGCAGUACCUGAUGCUCCUGAAAGGAC
rnacentral:lncRNA from 1 species